rfam:Lachnospiraceae bacterium ACC2 genomic scaffold supercont1.5, whole genome shotgun sequence.
AUAAUGAUACUUCUGUACGCAGCUCGGUGAGAACCACGGAGGGGUUAGAGUCCCAUGG